UUGUGAGGAGCACAGCCCCGGGCCUGUCGGUGGGAGCAGGCCCUGCAUAAAGCCGUCUGUUGUGGGGGAUGCCACCCGCGAGCCCCCGCAGGAGCAGCUGCAGAAGCCCUGUUUUUCACGCCUGCCAGCAGGCAAACCCUCUCCUAGAAUCUCCGGCGCGGUGCUAAAGCCCUGCCGGCUGUCGCUACCUGUGCCAGCCACCCCGGGACACGGCACAUGCUGCAAACACCUUUUUCUUUGACGGCGCUGGCACUUCAUCUGAGCCAGGAUAAAGAGGGCGCGGCCGGUUUUCAAGUCUGCUUUGAGACUACAAUAAGAGCUCCUUAUGGGUUUAAAAUUACCAUUCUGCAAUACUGGCAAACCAUUACCUCUUCCAGGAAAGCUGCUUUGUAGUACUGCAGGAAAGUUAUCCCUCUGGUGUUGUAAGCUGCACCAACAGCAUUGCAGUCCUGUAUUCCUGACCGGAGGCUACUUCAGCAAGGGAUUGAAUGACUUCAUGACCUUGAUGGAUGCACAGAUGCUGCCAGAGGUCAGAGCCAUCCCAGAGCGGUUUGCUCACCAAUGGACUUCAGCUACACCAGCACAGAGUCUCCAUGUCUACUGGGGAGGGGUGACAGACCCCAAAGUCCUGGAGCUGUUGUAUCUCAGCACACAAUUGCAAAAGAAGGAAUGUGAUGUGCUUCUAGCAGUGCAGCAGAAGAGAGGAAGCUGCAGUCCCCCAAGGUUCCCUGCCCACUUAAAGACCAUGUUCACAUCAGGAUACACCUGCUGAGUUUCCUGCUGUGAACAUCUGACAGGCAGCUGAUACCAAAGGACAGAACCCAGGGAGCAGAGAGCCAAAGAAUGAAAGAGAAGAGAUGCUGGACAGAGAAUCCUACACCUUGUCUAGCAAACGAAUGCAAAUGCCUCACCUGCCCUUCUGACUCAGCUCCUUCCAUGGACAACAGACCUUUAUUUACUGUGGAUGAGGUCCUGGAAGUAUUCUGUUAAUAUUUUAGAGCAUCUGUGGAUGCACACAGAUGCAUCAACAACACCUUGCUCAUUCAUGUAAUUUGACUUUAUUUUUACUUACUGAAGGCAUUAAAAAAUUAACCCAAGCAGCUGUUCAGAUGCUUCUAUUUUUUUUAUGCAGCAAAGGGAAAAAAAAGUGUGAACAGCUGUGUCAGUGGAACACAUCCAGGUGGCAUCCCUAAGGCAAAGUUUCUACAAAACCUAUAAGAUAAUGUUUUUACUAUCUUAGUUAUUUUAUUUCUUUUUUAUUACGUUGCUCUUGUUGAUUCUUAAAGAGGUAUGAGCUACUUAUUUCUUCACCCUCGUCCCUCUGUGUUUGAGCUGUGCUGUAGCUCAACACAGAUGUUGCAGUGAUUCAGCCAUCAAAAGGGAAAAUCACCCUUUCAGCAGAAUCCUUCUGAAUCUGUUCUGGGGUCUUAAAUAGGGUGUAUGUCUGGGUAAGGAGCAAUUUUACAUAUCUGGCCUUUCUAUGGGGAGAAACUCAAGAUGUGGCACCAAAAAUUGCCUUAGGGACACUCAAGAGCAGAGGGAAUUUGUUUUCCGGGUUGUAUAACUAAGUCAGCUGAGAUGUAGUUUUGUUGCAGUUCCUUGACAAGAUAGCUGGGUCAUCCUCAAGGAGAAGCUAAGACUCACAAUUACACAAGAGUCUGAAAGAGCAGCUGUUUGGGACUCCAACAUGUGUAGCAUUGGGGAUUUGGAAAUCACUGGUCAAAUUCUCAGCUGGGUGAUGCUGAAAUCUGUAUCAGGUUCACUGACAAAGACUCAUGAAGAAACUCCCUUACUGAAGUUCUGAAUUCCUCAGCUGGAAUCCCAGAAGUCUCCCAUUCUGCAUAGAGUAAAUUUCAGCUUUCUAAACUCUGGUGCCCUUUCCAUGCAUUUACUCUCAUGUCUCAACCAUGAGAGGCUUCCAGACACCAGCUCCAAGCUCUGCAUUUCCUGGAACCACACUCCCAAUGUGCCCUAGGCCAUCACACCACAGUCCAAACCCUACACCCUGCCCAGUCAUCCAGGGCUCAUCUGUUUGGUGCCUUCCAUACAAACCCUCCUAAGAAUGCGAUUCUGUUGCUAUAAGGCAGCUUGCUGAAUUAUGGAUGUGCUAUCCAUAAACUGAUGGUUGGUAUUUUCUGCCCUGACAUCAGUCCUUGGAUUAUCAACUCUGCAGAACAAAGUGAAAACACUGAAAUGUCUGAAAAUUGCCAGCCACAUCACAGGUGUUACAGGAAAUUAUAUUCACAAUAACGAAUAAUAAUAGCAAGGACAACUGUAAUGAUUAAGCAAUUUGUUGCUGUUACUAUUCUUUCUCUUAUUCCCACAAUAUUUGACAAAUAUGGGCUCUCCAGAGAGCUCUUGAGACUGAAGAAAUGUUUUCAGGAGACACAGAAUGCAAAGAAAAGUGUUGCUUUUCAGCUUAUAGCAUAAUGAUAGUAGAUAGAUAAAUGCCUGAAAUCUGUUUCUAUACCACUAAGAGUUUUGUUUGUUUGUUUUUUAAAUUAGCUUGAGAAACAAAUUAUGUAAAAGUAUCUGUACAGUCCUGAGAAGGACUGUCUUCCAGAUGAAAGCUCAGCAGAAUCAUCCCUGAGUCUAAAGGAAAAUUUCAUUCUCUAAAUCAUUCCCCUUUGGUACAUUCUCUUCAUAUUUAGUAGGUGGAUGCAAUACCCUCUAUAUGUACUAAGCUUGUGUUAUUACAGUUUGAGCACGAUAUAUGUUUAUUUGGAGUCUAACAAGAUCAUCAAUCAGGAAAUACCACUGCACUUCAUAUUAUGUAUUUAUUUAUGGUGUUAGGAUGAAAUUUACCUGGGUCCAGAGAACAAAAUUAGGCUGUUACAGCCCUUGGUUUCAUAUAAGUUAUUUUCCUCUCAAUGCCUAUGCCCUGUGGACACAAAUUUAUUUUUCCAAUACUAGAUGAAAAAUCUCCCAUUCUUUCAUUGCCUCCAGGUAAUGAUGUCUAUACCUUUCCUUCUGCUUCCAAUUUUGUGUCCAUUACUUGAAUGCUUGAAAACAUGAAAUACAAUACCAUAAGUCACAGAGCAAGAAAAUCUGCAGUGUUUAGGGAAUAUUUAUCUUCCUUUUCAAUACUUUUGUAAUUAAAGAAAUUCUAGUCAAUCAUUUGAUAUCUUCAGUGACAUUACCAUACUCCUGAUCUUAAACUUGGGUGCUGGUUAGCCAUUAGAAAGAAGGAAUAUUUUGCAGACAGGUUAUGGGAUGCAGAUUUGGAAAAUCUCAGUUCUUCUCCGAAGUAUGUCACACACUGAGCAAUGAAAGAUGACUUUAAAUGGAAUGUGUACUAAUAAAUGUAAAUAUGAAAGUGGAAAAUUACAUCACAAUACGAGAGCUCAAUGUAGUUAAUCAUAACAGUAAUUAUCUUAAAUAAUACUAAAAAUAUCAGUGAAAAACAUUGAGAGACCUUUGUUAAGUGUCCAAAUGUGUUCUGAUUGCUGUAUUUGACAACUCUGCAAGAACUUAAGUCUCAGAGACUUGGAAUCUCCAUGAGAUUAGAUAGUAUUUGCAUACAAAAUGCAGGAGUGAAGUUAAAUGAACAAAUGGCAAGUUUAUCUCAAAUAGAAGUGUUAUAAAACCAUUAAGCAUGUAAAAGUUGAUUCAGUUAAUUGGCUAAGGCCCAGUAAAGAUUUCACAACACUAUCAGCAGGGUGUUGAAAUACUUAAAAAAAAAAAAACCCAAAAAAAAAACCCCAACAAACCAACAACCCAGCAACUAACAGCAUGAUUUCAGAGAAGCACUGCCAUUUAAGAAACACUCUCUUCAGUAUUUAUUAGAAGAUAAGAAACUGUUUAUCAGCAUGCGCGUAUGUUCUUCCUGGAAUCAAGGUCCAUGCAAUUUAUUUCACAUGCAGCAAUAUUCUCUCAGUGCUUUGCAAUUUUUCCAUGCUCAAGUACCAGGAAAAGUGGAAGGAAGAGGUAUAUACCGUUACAAAGAAGUAUAUGACAUUUAUAUUUACUUAGUGAAUUGUGCUAAGAUAGACAUGCAAUCACAGUGUAAUGAGUUAACCAACAGGAGCUCCUGGCACUUCUUGUGCAGAGAGGAAAAAAAAAAAUCUCAUAGGAACAUGGAUGGUUAGGAAUGUGUCAAAGCAGGGACACAAGGAAAGGUAGCUCAUACAGCUACUGAUACAAAAAAAAAAAAUUAACAUUGUGAAAUAAAAUAAAUAAAAAUGAGGUGUAACCUAUGUAAAGCAAAGGAAAGAUCUGCUCUGAACAUCCAGUAAAACUCCAGUGUAGUUGUACUGAUCCUGCAGCAACCUUUGAAACAGAACGUUUCUGAGUUUAUGCUCCCUCGUGUAUCUUUUCUUAGGAAUAGUCUGGCCAUCUAGGAAAUAUUUCACUCUACCUUCCAGCACACACAGAAGUUUGAAAACAAUGCAAAUGUAAAUAGUUCCUGAUGCCAAACACUCCAGUUGCCAAGAAGAACUGAUGCAUUUUGUACCAGGGUUAUAUUACGACCAAGAUUAAUUUUUGGAUUGUCUCCGGCUAUUCUUUAACAAAAACACCUCUUGAUGAAACACAACUUGCAACUCACGGGUUUUGUGUAUUCAGGGGAACUUUUCACAACAGCUGAUUUACAGUGUUCAUGCAGAACAAGCUGUACUGUGACUUGCUUUUAAUCCAGCUGUCAGAUAUUCCAGAGGUAACAUCGUGGGAGAGGGGACCAGGUUUUUGAAGAUGAGCCUACUCAGUGAUAAAGAUCUUAUGGAAAACCAGAACAAAACCAAUCAAUGAAUAUACCCUAAAUUCUCUUAACAAAAGGGAAAUUUCUCACCAUUAUGAUAUAAGCAACUAUUAUCCAGUAAGAAUUGAGGCCAGGUCUCAAGUGAUAUUUCACAGCACGAGUUACACGAUCAGGUCGCUUGGUGCAACUGCACUGAUUGACUGGUCACACAUGUGCUUGCAAUGUCUCUAACCAGGUCUGCUCUCUUGCUUUGUAAAAGAAGUCAACCUCCAUUAAAAAUAAACCACUUAAUAUAUCUACAUUUGUAUAUGGAGAUUCGUCAAUGUUCAAAAACAACUACUAUAAAUUCAAAGAUGAAUUUUGGAAUCAAAUCAGGUAUCAUCAAAAUACAAACCUAAGAAAAAGUAAAAGGGAAUAAAAGAAAAGAAGGAAGAACUGACAAGUGGUAGAGAAACAGUGAGAAAAUAUUGGGAAUGUGUUAGAUUAUUAUCAGAUGGAUCUUUCUUUGCAUCCAGUUUUAGUUACUUUUGGGAAUAGCAUGUGACCAAAAUUUGCUUAUGGCUGUCAUAUCAGAAGAAUCAUUUGAGCUUUGUAGAUUCCUACCAUGUCAAAAUCUUUUGAUUAGGAAUUUCCCUGAGUAAUGUGGCAGCCUCUCCUUCCAGCAGCCAAACAAUAUUUGUCUGAGUCGAAUGCAGUUUACAAGGCUUCAGUCAUUAAGCAUGACUGAGCUGACCAAUCACACCACAUGAACACCGACUCAUCACCCCUAAGUGAUGUCAAAAAAUAACCACAUCAAGUAACCCAAAACCUCAGAAUCUGGAACAGUGGGACUGAAAAACUUCGG